GAUGAAGAACGCAGCGAAAUGCGAUACGUAAUGUGAAUUGCAGAAUUCAGUGAAUCAUCGAAUCUUUGAACGCAUAUUGCGCUCUCCGGUAUUCCGGAGAGCAUGCUUGUUUGAGUAUCAGUAAACACCUCAACUUCCAUAUCUUUUUUGAAAUGGGAGUUGGACUUGAGUGAUCCCAACGCUUUUCCUCACCGAAAAGUGGCGGGUUACUUGAAAUGCAGGUGCAGCUGGACUUUUCUCUGAGCUAUAAGCAUAUCUAUUUAGUCUGCCUAAAAAACAGAUUAUUACCUUUGCUGCAGCUAACAUAAAGGAGAUUAGUUCUUGUGCUGACUGAUGCAGGAUUCACAAAGACAGGCUUCGGCCGACUUUGUAAACUCGAUCUCAAAUCAAGUAAGACUACCCGCUGAACUUAAGCAUAUCAAUAAGCGGAGGA
rnacentral:misc_RNA from 1 species